AUGGACGCCCGGACGAGCGCUGUGACCUCGGAACGUUGUUGGGACUUGGCUGGGGGUGAAAACGCCGGCGGCGGCGCCUCCUUCCCCGGCGGCUGGCUCCGGCGUCUGUCCCGCGAGCUGCGCUGGAGCUUCGUGCUCGCCGUCGUGGCCGUCUACGGGGCCUGCCAGGGCGUCGGCGACGCCGUCGGCGGCGUCACGGCGGGGUACUACUGGAAGGACGUGCAGCGCGUGCAGCCGUCGGCGGCGCAGUUCUACCAGGGGUUCGUCAGCGCCCCCUGGGUCGUCAAGCCCAUCUAGGGCCUGCUCACCGACGUCGUCCCCGUCGCCGGCUACCGCCGCCGCCCGUACUUCCUCCUUUCAGGAGUGAUUGGGGCGUCGUCCAUGCUCACGCUCUCUCUCCACCGCAAGCUGGGCAUCAUGCCGGCGAUCUUGGCGCUGACGGCGCAGAGCGCGGGCGCGGCGGUGGCCGACGUGACGGUGGACGCGCUGGUUGCUCAGAACAGCAUCACGCACCAGCCGCUAGCCGCAGACAUGCAGAGCCUGUGUGGGUUCAGCUCCUCCGUUGGGGCAUUGCUUGGAUUCUCCAUCAGCGGUCUUCUUGUCCACUCCAUAGGGUCUCAGGGUGCUCUUGGAUUACUAAGCAUCCCUUCUGCACUGGUGUUCUUGGCUGGUGUUUUGCUGAAGGAGAGGCGAGUUACAGAUUUCGAUUACAAGCAGGUUCAUAGGAAAUUCUACAAAGCAAUUCAGUCCAUGGGGGCAACACUGAAGUUUGGCGGCCGUGUGUGUAUAUGUAUGUUUCUCUCAGUCUAAGCCUGGAUAUCCAAGCAGGAAUGUUCUACUGGUACACUGAUCCAAUAGUGGGACCAGGAUUCUCUGAGGAAUUUAUUGGCCUUGUGUAUUCGGUCGGUUCAAUCGGUUCGCUGCUCGGAGUUUUACUAUACCAAAUUUCACUGAAGGACUACCCUUUCCGCGGCGUGCUAUUCUGGGGCCAAGUUCUUUCAAGCCUGGCAGGAAUGCUCAAUCUGAUAAUGGUGACCCGGCUCAACACAAGAAUCGGCAUUCCGGAUUACGUCUUUGCGGUGAUCGACAACAGUGUCUCCCAGAUGGUUGGGAGGCUCAAAUGGUUGCCGCUCCUCGUGCUUUGCUCCAAGCUUUGUCCUCCAGGCAUCGAAGGAACUUUCUAUGCGCUGCUCAUGUCCAUCCAAAAUGCCGGGUUGCUGAUGUCUGGCUGGUGGGGUGGCCUGAUGCUGCACUUGCUGAAUGUGACUCGAACAGAGUUCAGUAACCUCUGGGUUGCCGUCCUGAUCAGAAACUUGUCGAGGCUGCUCCCGCUGAUGCUGCUGUUUCUUGUUCCCCAGAGUGACCAAAACUCAAUGCUCCUCCCGGCAGAGAUGCUUCAGGACAAUGAAUCUACUGAAGCUAGGAAAGGAGGUCAAGACACUGCUGAAUUUUCCGUCCUUGUCGCAGAUGAUUCUAGCUGUCAUGCUCUGAAUGUGGCUGUCGAAGAUGAAAGAAUCAAAGUGGUCGAUGCUGGAACGGGUACUGUGGAGUUGAUUCCUCUCAUGAACGAGCUACAAGACCGUGGGAGUUGACUGACAAGCUCAUGAACAGGAUACUUGUCUUCCAUCCAUGAUUCAUUCUAUACCAAAUUACCAAUGGCGUUCUGGUUCUGUUCUCCACUCUUUGGUAGACUAGUUCUUUAUGUAUCAUCAGCAACAGCACAUCAAUAGGUUAUAGGUGAAACAACAGUUCGUUUUCCUUUCAUUUUUU